AAAAACAAUCCCUUUCCGUAGGGUGAACCUGCGGAGGGAUCAUUACCGAGUUUACAACUCCCAAACCCCUGUGAACAUACCUAUACGUUGCCUCGGCGGAUCAGCCCGCGCCCCGUAAAACGGGACGGCCCGCCCGAGGACCCCUAAACUCUGUUUUUAGUGGAACUUCUGAGUAAAACAAACAAAUAAAUCAAAACUUUCAACAACGGAUCUCUUGGUUCUGGCAUCGAUGAAGAACGCAGCAAAAUGCGAUAAGUAAUGUGAAUUGCAGAAUUCAGUGAAUCAUCGAAUCUUUGAACGCACAUUGCGCCCGCCAGUAUUCUGGCGGGCAUGCCUGUUCGAGCGUCAUUUCAACCCUCAAGCUCAGCUUGGUGUUGGGACUCGCGGUAACCCGCGUUCCCCAAAUCGAUUGGCGGUCACGUCGAGCUUCCAUAGCGUAGUAAUCAUACACCUCGUUACUGGUAAUCGUCGCGGCCACGCCGUAAAACCCCAACUUCUGAAUGUUGACCUCGGAUCAGGUAGGAAUACCCGCUGAACUUAAGCAUAUCAAUAAGCGGAGGAACAUGAAAUCCUCA
rnacentral:rRNA from 1 species